rnacentral:rRNA from 1 species
GCAGUCGAGCGCAGGAAACCGUCUGAACCCUUCGGGGGGACGACGGCGGAAUGGGCGGCGGACGGGUGAGUAACACGUAAAGAACCUGCCCAUAGGUCUGGGAUAACCACGAGAAAUCGGGGCUAAUACCGGAUGUGUCAUCGGACCGCAUGGUCCGCUGAUGAAAGGCGCUCCGGCGUCGCCCAUGGAUGGCUUUGCGGUGCAUUAGCUAGUUGGUGGGGUAACGGCCCACCAAGGCGACGAUGCAUAGCCGACCUGAGAGGGUGAUCGGCCACACUGGGACUGAGACACGGCCCAGACUCCUACGGGAGGCAGCAGUAGGGAAUCUUCCACAAUGGACGAAAGUCUGAUGGAGCAACGCCGCGUGAACGAUGAAGGCUUUCGGGUCGUAAAGUUCUGUUGUAAGGGAAGAACAAGUGCCGCAGGCAAUGGCGGCACCUUGACGGUACCUUGCGAGAAAGCCACGGCUAACUACGUGCCAGCAGCCGCGGUA